rnacentral:rRNA from 1 species
GACGAACGCUGGCGGCGUGCUUAACACAUGCAAGUCGAACGGAAAGGCCCUGCUUUUGUGGGGUGCUCGAGUGGCGAACGGGUGAGUAACACGUGAGUAACCUGCCCUUGACUUUGGGAUAACUUCAGGAAACUGGGGCUAAUACCGGAUAGGAGCUCCUGCUGCAUGGUGGGGGUUGGAAAGUUUCGGCGGUUGGGGAUGGACUCGCGGCUUAUCAGCUUGUUGGUGGGGUAGUGGCUUACCAAGGCUUUGACGGGUAGCCGGCCUGAGAGGGUGACCGGCCACAUUGGGACUGAGAUACGGCCCAGACUCCUACGGGAGGCAGCAGUGGGGAAUAUUGCACAAUGGGCGGAAGCCUGAUGCAGCAACGCCGCGUGCGGGAUGACGGCCUUCGGGUUGUAAACCGCUUUCGCCUGUGACGAAGCGUGAGUGACGGUAAUGGGUAAAGAAGCACCGGCUAACUACGUGCCAGCAGCCGCUGUAACAC